CAUACGACCGUACCGCAAACCGACACUGGUGCGCGAGAUGAGUAUUCUAAGGCGCUUGAGAGAACUCAGGAGAAGGAACUCGGCAAAUUGACACCGUAACUUCGGAAGAAGGUGUGCCCUAUUAGUGUGUAGUGAACAACGAAGCAUGAAUGGGUUGCAAAAAAUCGGUGGCUGCGACUGUUUAUUAAAAACACAGCACUCUGCAAACACGAAAGUGGACGUAUAGGGUGUGACGCCUGCCCGGUGCUGGAAGAUUAAAUGAUGGGGUGCAAGCUCUUGAUUGAAGUCCCAGUAAACGGCGGCCGUAACAAUAACGGUCCUAAGGUAGCGAAAUUCCUUGUCGGGUAAGUUCCGACCUGCACGAAUGGCGUAACGAUGGCCACACUGUCUCCUCCUGAGACUCAGCGAAGUUGAAAUGUUUGUGAUGAUGCAAUCUCCCCGCGGAAAGACGGAAAGACCCCAUGAACCUUUACUGUAGCUUUGUAUUGGACUUUGAACAGAUCUGUGUAGGAUAGGUGGGAGGCUUUGAAGCAGGGUCGCUAGAUCUUGAGGAGCCAACGUUGAAAUACCACCCUGGUGUGUUUGAGGUUCUAACCUAGGUCCAUUAUCUGGAUCGGGGACAGUGCAUGGUAGGCAGUUUGACUGGGCGGUCUCCUCCCAAAGCGUAACGGAGGAGUUCGAAGGUACGCUAGUUACGGUCGGACAUCGUGACGAUAGUGCAAUGGCAUAAGCGUGCUUAACUGCGAGACUGACAAGUCGAGCAGAUGCGAAAGCAGGACAUAGUGAUCCGGUGGUUCUGUAUGGAAGGGCCAUCGCUCAACGGAUAAAAGGUACUCUGGGGAUAACAGGCUGAUACCGCCCAAGAGUUCAUAUCGACGGCGGUGUUUGGCACCUCGAUGUCGGCUCAUCUCAUCCUGGGGCUGUAGCCGGUCCCAAGGGUAUGGCUGUUCGCCAUUUAAAGAGGUACGUGAGCUGGGUUUAAAACGUCGUGAGACAGUUUGGUCCCUAUCUUCCGUGGGCGCUGCAGAUUUGAGGAAGCCUGCUCCUAGUACGAGAGGACCGGAGUGGACACACCUCUGGUGUAUCGGUUGUCACGCCAGUGGCAUUGCCGAGUAGCUAAGUGUGGAAGAGAUAACCGCUGAAAGCAUCUAAGCGGGAAACUCGUUUCAAGAUGAGAUCUGCCGGGGCCUUGAGCCCCCUAAAGAGUCGUUCAAGACCAGGACGUUGAUAGGUCAGGUGUGGAAGCCA
rnacentral:rRNA from 1 species